CUGAGCAAUGGCUGCGCCUAAACAAACAGUCAUCUGCGGUAAAAUGUUUUUCUUAGCAAGUGGAAGGAUAACAAAUGUGUCAGUACCUUCACAUAAUAAACGACAAUGAUUUUAUAGACGGGCACGAAGACAGACCGACAUCACUGAGUGGAAAGGAUGAAACGCCCUUGAAUGUGGCAGCGGUGCAGGUAAUGAGUCCCGAAAUUCUCAGAAAAUAGAAAUGGAGGCCGAACCUGCAGAUGUGGAUGGCAGUGAUGUGAAUGAUGGAGCAUCUACACAGAAAAGAUGCUGGAAUCCAGAAAUUUCUUCACCUGGGGCCUAUUGGGGAUGGCAGUAAACCAAAAACUAACCAAGCUGUGGGAAUACAAACCUGUAGACCUUUAGCUGAACCACUACAAUUGAUGUUUUGUUGCU